GCCCGGGUAGCUCAAUCGGUAGAGCGUGUGGCUCUUACCAUUGGUAAACAAACCUCAAGGUCGCGGGUUCGAGCCCCGCCUCGGGCU
rnacentral:tRNA from 2 species